GUUAUAGGGUCAAGUGAAUAAGAGCAUGUGGUGGAUGCCUUGGCAAUGAUAGGCGACGAAGGACGUGAUAGCCUGCGAUAAGCUUCGGGGAGCUGGCAAAUUAGCUUUGAUCCGGAGAUUUCCGAAUGGGGAAACCCACCGAAAGGUAUCGCAUACUGAAUACAUAGGUAUGCGAGGCGAACCGGGUGAACUGAAACAUCUCAGUAGCUCGAGGAAAAGACAUCAACCGAGAUUCCGAAAGUAGUGGCGAGCGAAAUCGGAGAAGCCUGCAAGUGAUAGCACAAGACUUAACAGAACAACUUGGAAAGGUUGGCCAUAGCGGGUGAUAGCCCCGUAUGUGAAAAGACCUGUGUGAUACUGAGCUUGCGACAAGUAGGGCGGGACACGUGUAAUCCUGUCUGAAUAUGGGGGGACCAUCCUCCAAGGCUAAAUACUCAUCAUUGACCGAUAGUGAACUAGUACCGUGAGGGAAAGGCGAAAAGAACCCCGGGAGGGGAGUGAAAUAGAUCCUGAAACCGCAUGCUUACAAAAAGUAGGAGCCUCGUAAGGGGUGACUGCGUACCUUUUGUAUAAUGGGUCAGCGACUUACAUUCAGUGGCAAGGUUAACCGAAUAGGGAAGCCGUAGAGAAAUCGAGUCCGAAUA
rnacentral:rRNA from 1 species